rnacentral:rRNA from 2 species
GACUAUAAUGCAGUCGAACGAACUCUGGUAUUGAUUGGUGCUUGCAUCAUGAUUUACAUUUGAGUGAGUGGCGAACUGGUGAGUAACACGUGGGAAACCUGCCCAGAAGCGGGGGAUAACACCUGGAAACAGAUGCUAAUACCGCAUAACAACUUGGACCGCAUGGUCCGAGUUUGAAAGAUGGCUUCGGCUAUCACUUUUGGAUGGUCCCGCGGCGUAUUAGCUAGAUGGUGGGGUAACGGCUCACCAUGGCAAUGAUACGUAGCCGACCUGAGAGGGUAAUCGGCCACAUUGGGACUGAGACACGGCCCAAACUCCUACGGGAGGCAGCAGUAGGGAAUCUUCCACAAUGGACGAAAGUCUGAUGGAGCAACGCCGCGUGAGUGAAGAAGGGUUUCGGCUCGUAAAACUCUGUUGUUAAAGAAGAACAUAUCUGAGAGUAACUGUUCAGGUAUUGACGGUAUUUAACCAGAAAGCCACGGCUAACUACGUGCCAGCAGCCGCGGUAAUACGUAGGUGGCAAGCGUUGUCCGGAUUUAUUGGGCGUAAAGCGAGCGCAGGCGGUUUUUUAAGUCUGAUGUGAAAGCCUUCGGCUCAACCGAAGAAGUGCAUCGGAAACUGGGAAACUUGAGUGCAGAAGAGGACAGUGGAACUCCAUGUGUAGCGGUGAAAUGCGUAGAUAUAUGGAAGAACACCAGUGGCGAAGCGGCUGUCUGGUCUGUAACUGACGCUGAGGCUCGAAAGUAUGGGUAGCAAACAGGAUUAGAUACCCUGGUAGUCCAUACCGUAAACGAUGAAUGCUAAGUGUUGGAGGGUUUCCGCCCUUCAGUGCUGCAGCUAACGCAUUAAGCAUUCCGCCUGGGGAGUACGGCCGCAAGCUGAAACUCAAAGGAAUUGACAGGGGCCCGCACAAGCGGUGGAGCAUGUGGUUUAAUUCAAGCUACGCGAGAGCCUUACC